UUUUUUUUUCCUUUUCAAUUUGAAUAAUUAUAUUUUCUUUCCUUUUACUUUGUAGGUGUUUUGCUUGAAUGCUGGACAGAACAAACGUGGUGGAUUUUUUAAGAUUUCUGAAGCAUCAAUUAGCACAAACUGCAGGAACAUUAUCAUUCCUUGCGGAAAGAAUAAGGACAAUGGUUGUCAAUUGUUUACAAGGACAUUAGAAGAGAUUGGUACAGCUACAAGAGUUCUUUUCCCUCCACAUCAGGUCUCUGGCUUUUCAUUUUUCUUGUUUCGUGUUUGUGUAUAUGCAAAUGCAUUUUCUAUUCUGCAGCGGCAGCAAAUUUAUAUUCCUUCAGAGGAACCCACGGAGCUUGCAGACGCCAAAAUGCUCAGAGCACUUCAGCACCACAAUCAAAUGUGGAGCCUGCAUGCUACGAAAGUAAUAGCUGUUGAUCUUCAAAAAUGAUGAGAGUAGGCCAGAAGCAGUUCUUCUUUGAUCUUGGAAGCAAUAAGAGUGGUCAUUUCCUUGAGAUUACCAAUGGUUCAUAUUCAAGAGAAGGCCAUUUGACUGAAGAGAAUGUCAAUAAGCGGUGCAGUGCAGAAAUGAGUGAAACUCAGUGUUGAACGCAGAUGAAGAAGCUUUAAUCUGAUAGCUCUACUCUGUUUAGACAAGUCAUGGGACUUUUGAUGUCUUAAACUGGAUCAACCCUCUAGUUUAUCAAACUUUCUGUACUUGACAAACCAUAGAACCUUCUGAACAUUGGAUCAAUGAACAGUAUUUAGUACA